UAAAGAUUGGUCUUUUCAAAUAUGUAUAUUUAAACCUGUCUUCUGGAAACAGGUUCUUGAACCUAUCUUUAGGAUACAGUUUUUGACUGGGAUAUAAGAAAUGAAACAUGUUUGUUUGUUUCCUUUUUGUUUGUUUGUUUGCAUCAUCAGCCAUACUCAUGGCUUAUCCUACGCAUUGUUCCUCUCAUCAGCUGAAACUGUUUCUCCCCAAUAAGUGAGCAAUCUUAAACAUUUUCAUCACUCUUUAACAAAAUCCAUUCUCAAUAUUCUUUUUGCUGAAUUCGUAUAUUGUAUAUGCUCAACAUAUUAUUUGUUUUAAACUUGACUCCAUCCAGAGCAUUGUUCUAUAGAGUUUUCCUGUAUUUAUCAGAGUCAUGUGGUAUUUUUCUUGAUGACCUUAGGCAACAAUAUAGUGUUAUCAGUCAUCAUUUUAAUAUGAUUUAAAAUGUGGACCACAGCCUGCCUUCUUUAGUUUAAAUCUAGGCCAAGCAUGGUGGCUCAUGCCUAUAAUCUCAGCACUUUAGGAGGCUGAGGCAGGAGGAUCACUGGAGCCUAGGAGCUCAAGACCAGCCUGGGCAGCAUAGUGGGCUCCACCUCUACAAGACAUUAAAAAAUUAGCCUUGUGUGCUGGCAAGCGCCUGUAGUCCUAGCUGCUCGGGAGGCUGAGGCAAGGGGUUUGCUUGAGCCUAGAGAUCAAGGCUGCAGUAAGCUGUGAUUGCACCACUGCACUUCAGCCUAGGUGGCAGAGUUAGACCCUGUCUCCAAAAAUACAUUUUUUUAAAUUUAAAUCUGGCAGUUUCUAGGCCAGUGGUUCUUAAUGGAUAUUACAGAUCAGACUUCUCUGUGGAGUUUAUAAAUAUACAGAUAUGUAGGCACUGCUUUGGACUUCAUGAAUCUCUUUGCUUGAUAUUCUUGGUAUUAAAAAAUUAUGUCUGAGGAUUAUUAUGUUAUAUCCUAAAAAUUUUUCUGCAUAGAAAUUUGUCCAUUUAUCUUUAUAUACCAGAUCCAAUAUUCAGACUUAUUUGAAAAUAGGCUUAAUCAUUAUCCUGAGGGACAUUUUGUCUAAAAUUUGCUUGGAAUGGCUUUAUUAUCUUUGUUUUGCC
rnacentral:lncRNA from 10 species